rnacentral:tRNA from 1 species
GGCGAUCCUGCGGCGAUGGCCGUCGGCGCCGCGGCUCCCGGUGACGGCCCGUUCGACCCGGACGGACCGCUG